AUGACCUGCCCCAAAAGAGCUUUCUAAAAGCGGUUGUAUCCAAAACGGUGGAGGCCAAUCAGCCAUUUCAGAUUUACAGUCACAAUCCGGGGAAAUUUCUGUGUAGAAUAUCGCCCUCUAUAGCAAACGUGUUUGUGAAGUAUCCAUAUGUACAUUAUUUAUAAAGCUUUCAAUUAUACUUGUGGUGUCUUGGUAAAAGAUGAAGAUUUGGGUUUAUUACUAAGAGCGUUUGAUGUACACAUGCGCCUGUAAGGCUGGAGUCAUUUGCAUUCCUGCUUUGGGCAUUUGCCAGUAGAGGGUAGUAUUAUUUCAUUUUUAUCUCCUUAGCCUGCUUGCAGUAAAGAACAAGCCUCCAAGGCCAUAAAGAAGGACUAAUAUUUCCAUCUGAACAGCUUUAGAGAGGUGAGAGAUUGUGAUUGACGCUGUUAGAUGCUACCCUGCCUUUUUUUAUUUGCUCCCCACAGCUUGACACUUGACCUUUGACAGGCUGAAUCGGGAAUUUGGACCUAAGAACUGAUGGCACAAUCCAUUCUGUAAGGGAAAAAUUAGUGACAAGUUUGUGUAAACCUUUGAGCCUGACCCAUGCAUUUAGAGAUCUAUAGGGGAAAGCAGGUAAAUCUAGUAAGUGUGAAUGUUGUUGGUUCUCUGUGUAUUUUUCAGCCUUGCAUCCCAGUACCAGGUUUUAUUUAUUAGAACCUUGUUAAUAAGGUGACCUUUAGUAAGAACAAAUGCAAGCUGUGUCUCUUUCAGUGUGAUACAUGAAAUGCACACGCCAACCCAUCAGAAGGUCUCCUUCCUGGUUACACUUUUAUUAGGUCUUUUUAGGUAGACAUUAGCAAAGGUGGAGAAGGCAGGAGAAGAAGCACGUGAGGCAGCUCCUCCUUAAUAUGUUGGAGGAGUGUGGGGUGCGCUGACGCAACGAAAGGCCAUAUCAGUUUGUGCUAAUAAACUCAGAAUAAAUCUGGGACUCGACUUCAGAGUUGGUAUGCAGGGGAUGAGCGGGGUUAGUUGAAAGCAUGUGGCAUUCCUGAUCCCUUUGAAUCAUUAAUGUGCACUAGAAUGGCCUCAAUAAGCUGAGGCAAGGAGAUGAAACUCUGUAUAGAGAGUGGGAGAUGAGGAUGUGGGUACAAACCGUGUCCUCUGUGUCCACUUCUGGAAAAGAAUAUUACCGUGCCUGGGUUGUAGCAUAUAGGAACGAAAAUGACCGGAUAAUCACAUAAGUAUGAAAAGUGAAGCAGGUGUAUCGAAACGGGAGAUGAAAGUUGUUUGGGUGGGUUUCAGAAAAAGUGCAGGGAAGAAGAUGAAAAGAAUUUUAGUAGGAAGUACCAAAAGUGUGCCUUCUGAAGCAGAUGAUGGGAAACCAGGGAGCUGGAAAUUUUUAUUUAUUUAUUUAUUUUACAAAAGUGUUUGCCAUUCCAUUGUGAAUGAUUGUCCAAAUUGAAUUAGAUUUCAUUUUAAAAUACUACUUAUAUCUUUGGCCCUUUUGAUUAAAAUGAUGUCAGGGACACGUUCUUAUUUAUUUAUACAAGUCCAUUAAAAAAAAGUGUAAUUCUAUGUAACUAUGUGAGUUGCUAUUGUAAUUUUCAGAGCAAUUUGCAUUGUAGCCUGUGCAACACUGUGGGCACAGCAGCAGCACACUAUAAGAUAGCAAGUUCAUAGGAUUGCCAUGGAGACACCAUAGCAACAAGGAUGUUGCUCAGAGAUAUGAGGAAGACUGAAAUCCUGUCGUUAAGUGUUGGACUUAAUUUAGAAAGUGCGCUGCAUUUUAUUGAAGGUUUUUAAAACAUGUCUUGUGGGGCACAAAAGGGGUUCAGUUAUUGAUCGUAUGAGGGCUUUAUAUUCGAUGUAUCCUCUUUGAAAUCAACACCCAGUGUCUCUUUUUUCACUAGCGGUGCUGCUUGGCCGUGAUGUGCAGAGCCAGGGAUGAAGCAGGUCAGAGGUCUUGGGCAUCUUAAUGAGCCUUUAAACUCAGUUAAGGCUUCACCCAGCUCAUACUGCCAGUUGUGCAUAUGAUACAGAAACUAAUGUCAACAUUUUAAAUCAUUGUAAAUGAGCUGAGACCAAAUAUACAAUAACUGAGUGCUAAUCACAUGAAUUUGUUUGUAUUAGCACACUAAAUGUUGUUCGUUUUUGUGGUAGCACACUACUGCAACACUAAAUUCACAUUCAGAAUACAUUUUUAAAUAAAUUUUUUUCAUUUCAGAAACAUUGCAAAA